GGUCCCUAUCCGGCGCGGGCGGAGGAUAUCUGAGGGGAGCUGGCCUUAGUACGAGAGGACCGGGCUGGACGGACCGCUGGUGUACCUGCUGGGAACCAAUCCCACCGCAGGGUAGCCAAGUCCGGAAGGGAUAAACGCUGAAGGCAUCUAAGCGUGAAGCCCCCCCCAAGAUGAGAUAUCCCUUCCCUUGAGGAAGUAAGACCCCUGAAAGAGUAUCAGGUAGAUAGGACAGGAGUGGAAGCGCAGUAAUGCGUGGAGCGGACUGCCACUAAUCGGUCGAGGGCUUGACCAA
rnacentral:rRNA from 1 species